rnacentral:sRNA from 1 species
UCAGAUCUCUAUCGUUUCUUACGGUAAAGAGAAACCUGUGGUUCUGGGUCAUGACGAAGCUGCAUGGUCCAAAAACCGUCGUGCGGUCUUGGUAUACUAAGAGCAUUGCAUGAACAGUAACUUCAGACGUCAUCUCGUG